CUGGCUCAGGAUGAACGCUGGCGGCGUGCCUAAUACAUGCAAGUCGAACGCAAAUCGUCGGGUUGAGUGGCGAACGGGUGAGUAACACGUAGGUAAUCUACCGUAGAGACGGGGAUAACGAUUGGAAACGAUCGCUAAUACCGGAUAGUAUAUGGAUUCGCAUGAGUCCAUAUUUAAAGAUACAAAUGUAUCACUCUAUGAUGAGCCUGCGUCGCAUUAGCUAGUUGGUGAGAUAAUAGCCCACCAAGGCGAUGAUGCGUAGCCGGACUGAGAGGUUGAACGGCCACAUUGGGACUGAGACACGGCCCAGACUCCUACGGGAGGCAGCAGUGGGGAAUAUUGCACAAUGGGGGAAACCCUGAUGCAAGCGACGCCGCGUGAGUGAAGAAGUAUUUCGGUAUGUAAAGCUCUAUCAGCAGGGAAGAAAAUGACGGUACCUGACUAAGAAGCCCCGGCUAACUACGUGCCAGCAGCCGC
rnacentral:rRNA from 1 species